GAAUAUUGGACAAUGGGCGCAAGCCUGAUCCAGCCAUGCCGCGUGAGUGAAGAAGGCCUUCGGGUUGUAAAGCUCUUUCGGCCGGAACGAAAUCGUGCGGGUGAACAACCCGCGUGGAUGACGGUACCGGAAGAAGAAGCACAGGCUAACUACGUGCCAGCAGCCGCGGUAAUACGUAGGGUGCAAGCGUUAAUCGGAAUUACUGGGCGUAAAGCGUGCGCAGGCGGUCGCGUAAGCCAGAUGUGAAAUCCCCGGGCUUAACCUGGGAACUGCAUUUGGUACUGCGUGGCUGGAGUGCGGCAGAGGAAGGUGGAAUUCCUGGUGUAGCAGUGAAAUGCGUAGAGAUCAGGAGGAACACCGAUGGCGAAGGCAGCCUUCUGGGCCAGCACUGACGCUCAUGCACGAAAGCGUGGGGAGCAAACAGG
rnacentral:rRNA from 1 species